CCCACCUCCAUGUUAUCUGCGCUUCCUCUCUCUCCAAAUAUUACACGGCAAAAAAAAGAAAAGGAACUCACAGCCGAGCAUGUAAAACAAAGCUAAUCCCCUGAUUCCCCUUUCUCACACCAGAGCGCCGCCGCCGCCGACGCCGAUUCCGGGAAGCUCCGGCGCACUCCCACCCCACUGCUCACUACCUGCCCCCACUCCCUCAAUAUUCUCCUCCAAUCCCCCCCACCCACCCCACCCCACCCCACCCGCCCUUCGCCCCGCUGCACGCGGCCCCGCAACAAGCCUAGUCGCCACGCGCCGCCGGCGCGGCUUCGGCGGCUCCGGGUUGUCGGCCCAGUACACCUGCAUCUCCUCACGCGUGAUGGUGGUGCUCCGCCUCUUCUACCUCGACUCCGACGUUGAUGGUACUCCGCCUAGGGUUUCUGCGCCGUGUUACUCCGUCGAGUAUGAGUGGACAACACCGUGAUGCGAGUGAUUUCUCUCAACAAUUUUCUUAGUCAGAUCGAUCUACAACACAUACGCAUUGCAAUUAUGAGAAAUCCAUCAAUAUGCAGAUGAAGCCUUAAGAAUUAUUUAAGUCAUUGUAAUUAUAUAUAUCAUGGUGAGGGCCCUUCUGCUGUAAAAAUGUGCACAGCACAAUCUCAAAUUUUAUGCAAAAGCUCAGAUGGCAAUAGUUCUUACACUCAUGUUAUCCAAUAUAAACUGUUGAAUGAUUGAUACAAUUUGAAGGUGAGAUACAAGAACAUCAUAACAUUGAUAUUCUCGUCGUAUGUAUAUGACUACUAUAUAUUCCCGAAACCUCACCUCUAAACUGAGUUUAGUGCAGUUUUUUUAUUUUUUGAAAUACAGGUACUUCUCAAUUUUUGUACUAAUUUUCUAUUUUGGGGAAAGCCACAUAUGUUUCCAACAAUAGAAUGAUGUGUGAUGGUCAUCACACAAACUCCUGGCCAGGGCACACUAAGGUGGUGGGAAGAUACAUACAACCGUUAACUUGACGGCUAAGCGAUCAGAUGCGGCGAUUGUGUGAGUGUGUCAGGUUACAGAAACUUGAUUGUUCCAAGUCAAUGUUGUUGGCACUAAAACCUAAAAGACUACUGGUGCCAAGCUGGAUUUGCUAGGAGAUUGCAAGAUAAAUCGGUGAUGCAUCGUCAGAUGUUGAUUGCAAGGUCAAGAACAUGGGUGCUACUAGAUAGUUUCACAUUGUGUUUCAGAGUCAUUUUCAUUGUCGAUGUGUCAAUCAUUAUGAUUCAGGCAUUUUCGGUGUCAAUGUUUAGAUCAUUAUGUUUCAAAAUGGCUGAGACGUUGGUUGCAAGAUCAAGAAUAGGACCAGUACUAGUUUCACAUCUUGUAAUCUUUGUAUCCAGAUCCUUGUAAUGCAACCAAGUUGACUUAAUAUAUGAGACAGUUCUGUUUGUUA